CCCCUGGUGGUCUAGUGGUUAAGGAUAUAGCAUCGUCAGUGUUAUGGCUCAGGUUCGAUCCCUGGCCCAGGAA
rnacentral:tRNA from 1 species